rnacentral:ncRNA from 1 species
GCCGCCGGUGCCGUUUGGGGCCGGGGGAGAAUAGUGAAUCGGGUGCGAAUCCCGAACGGUACCGCCACUGUAUGCGUGGAGAUGCCCCUGCAAAGGCGAAAGCCGGUCAUUGGAGCCUUGGCUCUGAGAAGGCCGCAGGGGCAUUGCGGAUGCGCAAGCCAGGAGACCUGCUCAAG